UCCCCAGAAGUAUGGACUUGUUGCCUUGCGGUGCUGGCGACCUAUUCCCUUUGACGACCCCUAGGUGGAGAUGGGGCAUGAGGGUCCUCCAGGGGAAGAGCUCACCAGCACUGGGCAACAGUCCUA
rnacentral:lncRNA from 1 species